rnacentral:rRNA from 1 species
GAGACAGCAGUAGCCACGGUAAUACAGAGGGUGCGAGCGUUAAUCGGAUUUACUGGGCGUAAAGCGUGCGUAGGCGGCUUCUUAAGUCGGAUGUGAAAUCCCUGAGCUUAACUUAGGAAUUGCAUUCGAUACUGGGAAGCUAGAGUAUGGGAGAGGAUGGUAGAAUUCCAGGUGUAGCGGUGAAAUGCGUAGAGAUCUGGAGGAAUACCGAUGGCGAAGGCAGCCAUCUGGCCUAAUACUGACGCUGAGGUACGAAAGCAUGGGGAGCAAACAGGAUUAGAUACCCCAGUAGUCCCUGUCUCUUAUAC